UGCAGCCACUCUAGGUCAUCAGGUUGACAUAUGACUUAUUCAAAUAUUCAUAAUUUCUUCACACAGCAUAUAUUCGUUAUUUUUAAAUAAAGUCCCAGAUAUCGUUUACCGGAUAUCACCGGUUGGAGUGCAUUUUUCUUUACCUGGUAUCGUCAGGUCAGGAGAUAAAGAGCGGAGCGAGAAAGAGCUUGGAGGAUGGUUACUGUGAUUCGAGGUGGGUACAUAUAUCCGCAUGCGCCGUGCGGAGGACAGCGCGUCCUCGGGUCUCGCAAUCGCCGCUCCGUUGGACGGAUACCGAUCGGUGGCGUUAUCCCAGCUUUCCACACGGUGAAUCACUUCUUCCCCCCACCACUCCUCUCCCUCCUCUUCUUCUCAUCGUCUUCUUCUUCCGUCUCAUUGUCCCCCCAAAACCGGCAUCCAAACCCUUCUGGAAUAGAUCGGAAUAGACCCCCCCCCCUCCGUACCUAUCACCGACCUCAUUGCGAUCCAAAUCCAGGAGGCUUUCGAAUAGAAAUUCGAAACCCUCGCCGUCCUUGCUUUGUUACCGCCAAGUGGAGGAGCGCAGCUCAAGAGGAUGGAAGAACUGGUACUUUUAUGAUUGGCAACGAAAGAUUUCCUGCCUCCCUCUUGGAUCUUCCAUGCAUAGUUGAAUCUUAUAAAACUUAUGAUGAUACUGUGUUAAUCAAAACUGCUGAUAUUGGUCAGAUUAUUAUGGUAAGAGAAGAAGGUGAUCCUGCUCCAGAAGGGAUUGAGUACAAGCAUGGCCUUACCCCACCAAUGAGGGAUGCUCGCAGAAGGCGCUUCCGCAGAGAACCUGAUCUAAAUCCAGAGCUCGUCCAGCGGGUCGAAAAAGAUCUACUUAACAUUAUGUCUGGUGGGACAGUAGAGAAUAUCCUUUUUGGAUGAUAAUGUUUUUUGAGAUAUAAUUGCUUUCACUGGGACCUUGCGUGUGCAGAUGAAUUCAUGGGAGUUCCGUACCUGGAGACCUUUAUGUCUUAAAGUUAUAUGUUGGGGUUGAAAUUUGCCUGCAGUUCUUGCCGUGUGGUCAACACAAGAAACCUGCUGAGACGCCUGAGGCAAAGCCAGAAGACGUCCCCUUGGAGGCUGCUACUAAUGGGGGUGGUGAACGCGAGAAAAGUGACUCUGAUGAUUCACUGGAGCCUGAAACUUAGAGAAGGAAAUACCAACUUGGUUAGUUGAAUACUUUGGCUGCAACAACAGAAGGUUGUAGAAAAAGUCCCCCGGCUUAUCCUUCAAAUCGUGAUAAUGGUUUUACCAGUUCUUACAUUGUCAUGGGAAAAACUCGUGUUAAAAUUUUUGUUGCCUGUCUUAGAACUCAAAAAACCCCAUUUUGGAAGAAAAUAAAAGUGGUCUUAUGUCUGUCUGUUACAAUCU